GGAGUUAGCCGGUGCUUCUUCUGUGAGUGAUGUCCUUCCUGCCGGCUAUUAACCCGCAGGCCUUCUUCCUCACUGAAAGUGCUUUACAACCCGAAGGCCUUCUUCACACACGCGGCAUGGCUGGAUCAGGGUUGCCCCCAUUGUCCAAUAUUCCCCACUGCUGCCUCCCGUAGGAGUCUGGGCCGUGUCUCAGUCCCAGUGUGGCUGAUCAUCCUCUCAGACCAGCUACGGAUCGUCGCCUUGGUGAGCCGUUACCUCACCAACCAGCUAAUCCGACAUAGGCUCAUCCGAUAGCGCGAGGCCCGAAGGUCCCCCGCUUUCCCCCGUAGGGCGUAUGCGGUAUUAGCCUGGGUUUCCCCAGGUUAUCCCCCACUACCGGGCAGGAUUCCUAUGCAUUACUCACCCGUCCGCCGCUCGCCACCAGGGAGCAAGCUCCCCGUGCUGCCGCUCGACUUGCAUGUGUUAGGCCUGCCGCCAGCGUUCAAUCUGAACCAAGAUCAAAUUCUGA
rnacentral:rRNA from 1 species